rnacentral:rRNA from 1 species
GGCUCAGAACGAACGCUGGCGGCGUGCCUAAUACAUGCAAGUCGAACGUGAAGUUGUAGCAAUACGAUGGAAAGUGGCGAACGGGUGAGUAACACGUAAGCAAUCUACCUUUAAGUUUGGGAUAACCUUGCCAACGCGGGGCUAAUACCGGAUGUGAUCAGUUAAGCGCAUGUUUAGUUGAUCAAAGGAGCGAUCCGCUUGAAGAUGAGCUUGCGGCCCAUUAGUUAGUUGGCGGGGUAACGGCCCACCAAGACCGCGAUGGGUAGCCGGCCUGAGAGGGUGUACGGCCACAUUGGGACUGAGAUACGGCCCAGACUCCUACGGGAGGCAGCAGUAGGGAAUUUUGCGCAAUGGACGAAAGUCUGACGCAGCAACGCCGCGUGAGGGAUGACGGUCUUCGGAUUGUAAACCUCUGUUGGAUGGGAAAAAAGGUAGCAAUAUUUGAUGGUACCAUUCGAGUAAGCACCGGCUAACUACGUGCCAGCAGCCGCGGUAAUACGUAGGGUGCAAGCGUUGUUCGGAAUCACUGGGCGUAAAGGGAGUGUAGGCGGGAUCGUAAGUUAGGAGUUUAAUCCACGGGCUCAACCUGUGGUCUGCUUUUAAUACUGCGGUUCUUGAGUAUGGGAGAGGGCGAUGGAAUUCCAGGUGUAGCGGUGGAAUGCGUAGAUAUCUGGAAGAACACCAGUAGCGAAGGCGGUCGCCUGGCCCAAUACUGACGCUGAUACUCGAAAGCUAGGGGAGCAAACAGGAUUAGAUACCCUGGUAGUCCUAGCCGUAAACGAUGAACACUAGUUGCUGGAGGAGUCAAUCUUUUCGGUGACGAAGCUAACGCAUUAAGUGUUCCGCCUGGGGAGUACGCUCGCAAGAGUGAAACUCAAAG